GAUGAACGCUGGCGGCGUGCCUAAUACAUGCAAGUCGAGCGAACAGACGAGGAGCUUGCUCCCCUGACGUUAGCGGCGGACGGGUGAGUAACACGUGGAUAACCUACCUAUAAGACUGGGAUAACUUCGGGAAACCGGAGCUAAUACCGGAUAAUAUAUUGAACCGCAUGGUUCAAUAGUGAAAGACGGUUUUGCUGUCACUUAUAGAUGGAUCCGCGCCGCAUUAGCUAGUUGGUAAGGUAACGGCUUACCAAGGCAACGAUGCGUAGCCGACCUGAGAGGGUGAUCGGCCACACUGGAACUGAGGCACGGUCCAGACUCCUACGGGAGGCAGCAGUAGGGAAUCUUCCGCAAUGGGCGAAAGCCUGACGGAGCAACGCCGCGUGAGUGAUGAAGGUCUUCGGAUCGUAAAACUCUGUUAUUAGGGAAGAACAAAUGUGUAAGUAACUAUGCACGUCUUGACGGUACCUAAUCAGAAAGCCACGGCUAACUACGUG
rnacentral:rRNA from 1 species